rnacentral:rRNA from 1 species
AAAAGUGGGGACCUUCGGGCCUGCCGUUGUUGGAUGAGUCCGCGGCCCAUUAGCUAGUUGGUAGGGUAAUGGCCUACCAAGGCUACGAUGGGUAGCUGGUCUGAGAGGAUGAUCAGCCACACUGGAACUGAGACACGGUCCAG